rnacentral:lncRNA from 1 species
AUGCUUCCACUCACAGAGCUACACACACCCUCACUAUCUCACACACUCACAGACCACACGCACCCUUAUGGUCUCACAUUCACAGUCACAGGGCCACACUCACCCUCACGGUCUCACACUCACACUCACAGGCCCAUACACACGCUCAUUAUCUCACACUCACACUCAGAGACCCAUGUGCACUCUCAUCUCACACUCACUCACAGGCCCACACACACCCUCAUUAUCUCACACUCACACUCAGAGACCCACGUGCACUCUCAUCUCACACUCACAGGCCCACACACACCCUCAUUAUCUCACUCACACUCAGAGACCCACAUGCAUUCUCAUCUCACACUCACUCACAGGCCCACACACACCCUCAUUAUCUCACACUCACACUCAGAGACCCACGUGCACUUUCAUCUCACACUCACACUCACAGGCCCACACAUACCCUCAUUAUCUCACACUCACACUCAGACCCACGUGCACUCUCAUCUCACACUCACAGGCCCACACCCUCAUCAUCUCACACUCACACUCAGAGACCCACGUGCACUCUCACAGUCUCACACUCACACUCACAGGCCCACACACACCCUCAUUAUCUCACACUCACACUCAGAGACCCACGUGCACUCUCAUCUCACACACUCACAGGCCCACACACACCCUCAUUAUCUCACUCACACUCAGAGACCCACAUGCACUCUCAUCUCUCACUCACUCACAGGCCCACACACACCCUCAUUAUCUCACACUCACACUCAGACCCACGUGCACUUUCAUCUCACACUCACACUCACAGGCCCACACACACCCUCAUUAUCUCACACUCACACUCAGACCCACGUGCACUCUCAUCUCACACUCACAGGCCCACACACACCCUCAUCUCACACUCACACUCAGAGACCCACGUGCACUCUCACAGUCUCACACUCACACUCACAGGCCCACACACACCCUCAUUAUCUCACACUCACAGAGACCCACGUGCACUCUCAUCUCACACACUCACAGGCCCACACACACCCUCAUCUCACACUCACACUCAGAGACCCACGUGCACUCUCACAGUCUCACACUCACACUCACAGGCCCACAUACACCCUCAUUAUCUCACACACUCAGAGACCCACGUGCACUCUCACAGUCUCACACUCACAGGGCCACACUCACCCUCAUUAUCUCACACUCACACUCACAGGCCCACACUCACCCUAUCUCACACACACUCACAGGCCCACACACACCCUCAUGGUCUCACACACUCACAGGCCCACACACACCCUCACAGUCGCACAGACCUACACUCACACUUACACUCAGACCCACACUCACAUUCACAGUCUUACACUCACCCUCAAAGACCCACAUGCACCGUCAGUCUCACACUCACUCACAGUCAUAUCUACACUCACACUAACAUGCACGCCCUCUCCUCCACUCUUACACACUCACUCCACACACACUCAUAUCUACACUCACACUAACACAUGCACACCCCCACUCUUCCACUAUCACACUCACACCCUCGCUCCACACUCACAGUCAUAUCUACACUCACACUAA